AACGCGAAGAACCUUACCUGGGUUUGACAUGCACAGGACGCUGGUAGAGAUAUCAGUUCCCUUGUGGCCUGUGUGCAGGUGGUGCAUGGCUGUCGUCAGCUCGUGUCGUGAGAUGUUGGGUUAAGUCCCGCAACGAGCGCAACCCUUGUCUCAUGUUGCCAGCACGUUAUGGUGGGGACUCGUGAGAGACUGCCGGGGUCAACUCGGAGGAAGGUGGGGAUGACGUCAAGUCAUCAUGCCCCUUAUGUCCAGGGCUUCACACAUGCUACAAUGGCCGGUACAAAGGGCUGCGAUGCCGUGAGGUGGAGCGAAUCCUUUCAAAGCCGGUCUCAGUUCGGAUCGGGGUCUGCAACUCGACCCCGUGAAGUCGGAGUCGCUAGUAAUCGCAGAUCAGCAACGCUGCGGUGAAUACGUUCCCGGGCCUUGUA
rnacentral:rRNA from 1 species